rnacentral:rRNA from 1 species
UGAAGUCAGUUUUUACUUAACUUAUACAUGCAAGUCUCCGCACCCCUGUGAGAACGCCCUUAUAUUUCCUAAUUGGAAAAAGGAGCUGGUAUCAGGCACAAUAAUUAGCCCAAGACACCUAGCCACGCCACACCCACAAGGGAACUCAGCAGUAAUUAACAUUGAAUAUAAGCGCCAGCUUGAUUCAGCCAAAGUAAGAAGGGCAGGCAAACAUGGUGCCAGCCGCCGCGGUUACACCAUGAGGCCCAAAUUGACCUCUUUCGGCGUAAAGAGUGAUUAAAGUGAUCCUAUACUGUAGUUAAGCUAGAAUAAAGUCGUGACAAGCUUAUAU